UACAGAGACUGCAAGCGUUAUUCGGAUUCACUGGGCGUAAAGGGUGCGCAGGCGGCCAAGUGUGUUAGGCGUGAAAGCCCGGGGCUUAACCCCGGAAUUGCACCUAAAACUACAUGGCUAGAGCAUUGGAGAGGUAGCAGAAUUCAUGGUGUAGCAGUGAAAUGCGUAGAUAUCAUGAGGAAUACCAGAGGCGAAGGCGGCUACCUGGACAAUUGCUGACGCUCAGGCACGAAAGCGUGGGGAGCAAAAGGG
rnacentral:rRNA from 1 species